GAUGAACGCUGGCGGCGUGCCUAAUACAUGCAAGUCGAGCGAAUGGAUUAAGAGCUUGCUCUUAUGAAGUUAGCGGCGGACGGGUGAGUAACACGUGGGCAACCUGCCCAUAAGACUGGGAUAACUCCGGGAAACCGGGGCUAAUACCGGAUAACACUUUGAACCGCAUGGUUCGAAAUUGAAAGGCGGCUUCGGCUGUCACUUAUGGAUGGACCCGCGUCGCAUUAGCUAGUUGGUGAGGUAACGGCUCACCAAGGCAACGAUGCGUAGCCGAACUGAGAGGGUGAUCGGCCACACUGGGACUGAGACACGGCCCAGACUCCUACGGGAGGCAGCAGUAGGGAAUCUUCCGCAAUGGACGAAAGUCUGACGGAGCAACGCCGCGUGAGUGAUGAAGGCUUUCGGGUCGUAAAACUCUGUUGUUAGGGAAGAACAAGUGCUAGUUGAAUAAGCUGGCACCUUGACGGUACCUAACCAGAAAGCCACGGCUAACUACGUGCCAGCCGCCGCGGUAA
rnacentral:rRNA from 1 species